GGGCUUCGGCCUGGUUAUUCAUAACCCUUUGUUGUCCGACUCUGUUGCCUCCGGGGCGACCCUGCCUUCGGGCGGGGGCUCCGGGUGGACACUUCAAACUCUUGCGUAACUUUGCAGUCUGAGUAAACUUAAUUAAUAAAUUAAAACUUUUAACAACGGAUCUCUUGGUUCUGGCAUCGAUGAGAACGCAGCAACACAU
rnacentral:misc_RNA from 1 species